rnacentral:rRNA from 1 species
ACGGGGUGCAGCAGGCGCGAAAACUUCACACUGGGGGGAACCCCGAUGAGUGGAAAUCCUAGUGCUAGGACAUUUGUUCUAGCUUUUCUCAAGCGUAGAUAACUUGAGGAAUACGGGCUGGGUAAGACGGGUGCCAGCCGCCGCGGUAAUACCUGCAGCCCAAGUGGUGGUCGAUUUUAUUGAGUCUAAAACGUUCGUAGCCGGUUUGGUAAAUCUUUGGGUGAAUCGGGAGGCUCAACUUUCCGACUUCCGAAGAGACUGCCAAACUUGGGACCGGGAGAGGCUAGAGGUACUUCUGGGGUAGGGGUAAAAUCCUGUAAUCCUAGAAGGACCACCGGUGGCGAAGGCGUCUAGCUAGAACGGAUCCGACGGUGAGGGACGAAGCCCUGGGUCGCAAACGGGAUUAGAUACCCCGGUAGUUCAGGGUGUAAACGGCUGCCGAACUUGCGUGUUGGAUGCCCCUUCGUGGGGGCCAUUCCAGUUGGCCGGAAUAGAAGUUUGUUCACGUCCGGCUUACUUUGCGGCGAGUUACCGUUCCCCCAAGGAAUUGGCGGGGGGAGCAC